UGGGGAAUAUUGCACAAUGGGGGGAACCCUGAUGCAGCGACGCCGCGUGAGCGAAGAAGUAUUUCGGUAUGUAAAGCUCUAUCAGCAGGGAAGAAGAAGGACGGUACCUGACUAAGAAGCUCCGGCUAAAUACGUGCCAGCAGCCGCGGUAAUACGUAUGGAGCAAGCGUUAUCCGGAUUUACUGGGUGUAAAGGGAGCGCAGGCGGCGCGGCAAGUCUGGUGUGAAAUACCGGGGCCCAACCCCGGGACUGCAUUGGAAACUGUCGGGCUGGAGUGUCGGAGGGGCAGGCGGAAUUCCUAGUGUAGCGGUGAAAUGCGUAGAUAUUAGGAGGAACACCGGUGGCGAAGGCGGCCUGCUGGACGACAACUGACGCUGAGGCUCGAAAGCGUGGGGAGCAAACAGG
rnacentral:rRNA from 1 species